rnacentral:rRNA from 1 species
UACGAAGGGGGCUAGCGUUGCUCGGAAUCACUGGGCGUAAAGCGCACGUAGGCGGCUUUGUAAGUUAGAGGUGAAAGCCCGGGGCUCAACUCCGGAAUUGCCUUUAAGACUGCAUCGCUAGAAUUGUGGAGAGGUAAGUGGAAUUCCGAGUGUAGAGGUGAAAUUCGUAGAUAUUCGGAAGAACACCAGUGGCGAAAGGCGGACUUACGUGG